UGCAGAAGUGUAGGCUUUCCAAAGUAGAUACUUCUGCUGUUGAUAGUUAGGACAGUAGUAGUGUUACGGACCGUCUUGGUUUGUCCUCUCAGGCGUCUAAACUGUCCAAAGGGAACAUAAAGCUUUUGACGCUGUUGCUGAUGAAGAAAGGCAGUAGUGACUUGGCUGUGAACACCAAGAGCACAAUACAUCAAUGGGGCAUGCCUCAGACGCAAAUUGCGCCCAAGAUUGUAAACAAGGUGCAAAAUGUUAACAUGUCUAGCUUUGUUACGAGCACUUGGCACUUGUAUUGAAACGAGAAUAGAGAUGGCUUUGAAAAAUGACAGCAGUUUUGUAAUGUCGUACAGUACGCACUUCGACUCUCAACAGAGUUAGUCAGAACUCAAACUGGGGCCUUAGUAAUAUCAGCAAGUUGUAGAGACGCUCAAAGUGAAACAAUUGUUCCAACAGAUAGAACAGGCCUUGAUUGACUUGUCCGUAAAUGUGACUGGCCUUAAUAUGUUGCUCUCGAAUAAUGUGAACCUCACCAGGAGAGCUGUCUGCAAUUGACGACAUUCAACAACAGUUGUUGUCAGGAAUUCCCGGGUUUGGGUUGGUGACAUAGGUGUCGAGACUCGCUUCAUCUCUGCAUAUGGCACGCUCGCAGCAACAGCAGCAGCAACAAGAACAGCAGUGGCUGCUGAGUCCGAGGAUGUGGUGGACAAGAAUGACCUGAAUAUGCAGAAGCAACUGCUCAGCACAGAAGAC